CAGUAGCCGCGGUAAUACAGAGGGUGCAAGCGUUAAUCGGAAUUACUGGGCGUAAAGCGCGCGUAGGUGGUUCGCCAAGUUGGAUGUGAAAUCCCCGGGCUCAACCUGGGAACUGCAUCCAAAACUGGCGAGCUAGAGUAUGGUAGAGGGUGGUGGAAUUUCCUGUGUAGCGGUGAAAUGCGUAGAUAUAGGAAGGAACAUCAGUGGCGAAGGCGACCACCUGGACUGAUACUGACACUGAGGUGCGAAAGCGUGGGGAGCAAACAGGAUUAGAUACCCGCGUAGUCCCUGUCUCUUAUAA
rnacentral:rRNA from 1 species